rnacentral:rRNA from 1 species
AUUGAACGCUGGCGGCAGGCCUAACACAUGCAAGUCGAACGAGUGGCGGACGGGUGAGUAAUGUAUGGGAAACUGCCUGAUGGAGGGGGAUAACUACUGGAAACGGUAGCUAAUACCGCAUACCAUCAGAUGUGCCCAUAUGGGAUUAGCGAGUUGGGUGGGUAACUGCUCACCAAGGCGACGAUCACGAGCUGGUCUGAUAGGAUGAACGGCAACACUGGAACUGAGACACGGUCAAGACACCUACGGGAGGCAGCGGUGGGGAAGAUUGCACAAUGGGCGCAAGCCUGAUGUAGCCAUGCCGCGUGUAUGAAGAAGGCCUUCGGGUUGUAAAGUACUUUCAGCGGGGAGGCGUUACCCGCAGAAGAAGCACCGGCUAACUCCGUGCCAGCAGCCGCGGUAAUAC